rnacentral:lncRNA from 1 species
AUGGGUGUUUCCCUGUUAAUGCUCCUGUUUUUUUUUUUUCUUCUUCUUCUUUUUUCUCUGUGCUGUCAGGAGCAUCUGGGUCUGUGGUCAAUUUUGCCAGCAUGCAUUGCACAUAGAAGGUUUUUAUGAUUCAGCUCUGUCACUAACUCACAAACCUCUCACUCAAGAGGAAUGUUUCACUGCAGGAUCUUUCCAAAUGUGCUUCCAGGGGACUUUAUGAUCCUAAUGAGAGAUGUAUGAUUAUUCUCUCUCUCUCUGGAAAUGUGAUCUGUUAAGAAAUGUCCCUGCAACUGAGCUGUCACUGCAUGAAUAUGGUGCAAUGAGCAACAGCUGAUAUUAUAUCGCAUUAUGCCACACCACUACAGAAUGAAUCAAAACUUGAACAAUAAGGGCAGAGAUGUUUCAACAUAAAACCGGUUUCAGUUAGAACCAAAACAAGCUUUUAUAGUCUUAUAUAUAUAUAACUAUAUAAUAAACUUUUUAUUCACUUGUAGUUCUUUACAAAACCAUUAUGAUGAAAAAUCCAUAAACCAACAUCUAAAGAAUCUAGACCUUUCAGAACUUUUAACUCCAAAGCAAUAUAAAACUCAGAAAAUGCUCCGUUAAAAGAAUACGGGUUUUGCCAAACUUAAAGGGCGAUAGAAAAAGCUACUUUCAUUGUGUAAUUGGUGUAAUGAAUAAUGCAUUCGGUGCGUCUGUGGUAACCGUUAACUUACAGUUCAUAAUUAGAAUAAAGUUUUAUAAUAAACUAGUGAAAUGAACCAAAAUAUAUUGUAAUAAAAACAUCACCACACGUUGUUUGUUGUCCGAUAGGAAUGGCUCGCGCAAAUUAGAAUGAUUUUUGAAAGAUCAUGUGACACUGAA